UCCAAGGGCGGCCCUUUCAAGCUGCCUGGAACUUUCUGCCAUCACACUGAGGCCACUGUUUGACCCAGUCCCGGGCCAGGGAGGCAGGAGCCGAUCACGUCCCAGGGCAGUGCUUCUCCCUGGCACUGAGUCCGUGGAAAGAGGCUGGGAAGGUUCUUUCCACACUUGAGGGCUGGCGUUGGGAAAAUAGGGUAGUGCUCUCCGCCCCAGUGAACAGCAAGAGCUCACUUCCCCCAGCAGACUUCUGCUCCACUGGCCUACUUUCAGCAUGGAGUGGAAGGAAGCCAGCUCCAGGAGGGCAGAGGCUUCCUCUCCACCCCUCUCUUCCACAACCUUCAACAGGCGCCUUGUUCUCCCCGGCCAGGGAACUGCGGAUGGUGACCAUCGUUUCCCAGCCCAGCAAGGGGAAAUGAGGGGAGGAAAUAAACGCAGGGUUUUUAUUGCCAAAUAUUUCUUUCCCUGGGAGGACAACGCAUUCAAACCGCUGAGUGGAGAUUGGAGUUAGUCCAGCCAUAAACCAUCUUAAUGAACACUAAUAGAGAACCGCAAUUAUUGUUGACUUCAAAAUGCAAACAAGAACUUUAGACAGUGAUCCCUAUCAGCCGGUGAGGCCGGGCACAGAUGCCGGGCGCUGUUUUUGCCGUUGCUUAGCAAUGGAAAAUGAACUGUUCCUGUCUGUUACCACUGGAGGUGGAGAUAAAGUUUGAACUUUUGCCGGGAGUGUCCCUCCAAAACGAUCAUCAAUCAGACAGAAUAGCUGCAAAUACCAACUCACAGACCAGGUUGGGAAUUAGGUGAUAGGGUCUUGCUAUGUUGCCUCGGCUGGAAUGCAGUGGCUGUUCAUAGACAUUAUCACAGCACACUACAGUCUCAAACUCCUGGACUCAAGCAAUCCUCCUGCCUCAGCCUCCUGAGUAGCUAGGACUACUGGGAUGCACUACUGCUCUUGGCAAAUUAAGGAUUUUGAGAUGGAGAGACUAUCCUGGAUUAUCUGAUGGGCUUAAUCAUUGACAAAGGUUCUUAUAUAAGGAAAAGUCAAUGUGAUAAUGGAAGCAGAUUUGAAGAUGCUGUGCAACUGGCUUUGAAGAUGGAGGACGGGGCCACAAGCCAAGGAUUGUUGGCAGCCUCUAAGCUGGAAGAGGUAAGAAGCAUAUUCUCCUGUGGCACCUCCGGGAGAAAUGCAGUACUGCCUAUACCUUGACUUUAGCCAAGUGAAACUAAUUUUAGACUUCUCACCUCCAGAACUGUAAGAUAAUAAAUUUGUGUUGAUUUAAGACACUAUGUUUGUGGUAAUUGGUUACAGCAAU
rnacentral:lncRNA from 1 species